UGGGGAAUAUUGCACAAUGGGCGCAAGCCUGAUGCAGCCAUGCCGCGCGUGUGAAGAAGGCCUUCGGGUUGUAAAGCACUUUCAGCGGGGAGGAAGGCGGUGAGGUUAAUAACCUCAUCGAUCGACGUUACCCGCAGAAGAAGCACCGGCCAACUCCGUGCCAGCAGCCGCGGUAAUACGGAGGGUGCAAGCGUUAAUCGGAAUUACUGGGCGUAAAGCGCACGCAGGCGGUCUGUCAAGUCGGAUGUGAAAUCCCCGGGCUCAACCUGCGAACUGCAUUCGAAACUGGCAAACUAAAGUCUUGUAGAGGGUGGUAGAAUUCCAAAUGUAGCGGUGAAAUGCGUGGAGAUCUGGUGGAAUACCGAUGGCGGAGGCGGCCCCCUGGACAAAGACUGACGCUCAGGUGCGAAAGCGUGGGGAGCAAACAGG
rnacentral:rRNA from 1 species